rnacentral:rRNA from 1 species
GAGUUUGAUCGUGGCUCAGAGUGAACGCUGGCGGCAGGCCUAACACAUGCAAGUCGAACGGCAGCACAGUCGUAGCAAUACGAUGGGUGGCGAGUGGCGGACGGGUGAGGAAUACAUCGGAAUCGUACCUUGUCGUGGGGGAUAACGUAGGGAAACUUACGCUAAUACCGCAUACGAACUACGGUUGAAAGCGGCGGACCGCAAGGCGUCGCGCGAUUGGAUGAGCCGAUGUCCGAUUAGCUAGUUGGCGGGUAAGGCCACCAGGCGACGAUCGGUAGCUGGUCUGAGAGGAUGAUCAGCCACACUGGAACUGAGACACGGUCCAGACUCCUACGGGAGGCAGCAGUGGGGAAUAUUGGACAAUGGGCGCAAGCCUGAUCCAGCCAUGCCGCGUGUGUGAAGAAGGCCUUC